CUUUAAUUCACUAAGCAGUACUUUAUAUCCCACCUAACACCAAACUAUAAUUACAUUUAUGUAUUUUUUUUAUCCUGAAUAAACAAAUUUUAUCUUAUUUAUCCUUUGUGUCUCUUGACAGAGAGAGACAAGUGGAUAAAGAAGUGAGCAUAUAUGGCUCUGCCAGCACGUGGCAGACACGUCAGAAAGAAAAGAUUUUAAAUAUUUUGCAUACUGAAAUUCCUUUCUUCACGUUUCACCCACUCAUAGAUUUCACAUUGCUCUACUGAUUUCUUUCAAAUCCAAAAGAAAAUAUAUCAUAAAAAGAAUAUUUUAUGUCCUUAUAAUUUUGACAACCAGUAUAAUAAAUUGAGGUGCAAAAUCAUGUUCUUGUAUUUUAAAGACAGACAUUUCUUUCUAUAUCAUGGUGCCAUCUAGUGGAAAUAGACUUUUAUAAAGAAGAGGCAUCUCUAACCAGAGAGCAUUGACAGAUAUUUACAAUAUGUCUAAUACUGAUAUUCACUGCUGUUGUUUACUUUGCUGUACAGAAAUCUGAAAACAUGCAGCUGUGCACCUAUACCAAAACUUCUUCCUUUUUCCUACAACCCAUCAGAGAUUCAAAUGCUGGACUGGCUGUCACCAACUAGUGACAGAAUUUGUACCAGAAAUACUGAAGUGGAGCUUGUAAGUGACAACUUGUGGCAGUCCAAUGGAGAACAGCAAGCAUCACAGAGCAGAGUCAGACCAGACACAAUGGGAUCAGUUUCUUCUUCUAAGUGAAGAGCCUCCUAAGCCACCAUGAA